rnacentral:lncRNA from 1 species
AGCAUUGCUGUCAUCCUUAUCUUUGUCAUCCUUAUCCUUCUCCCCCUUAGUUGAGGGAUCCUCUGGAGUAGACUGAGAUGUUGACGGAUUGAUCUUUAAGUGUUGAACAACUUGAGCCAAAGUUUGCUCCAAGUUGUCAAGUUUCGUCAGACAGAGCUCCUGAGUUUUAUCAAAUUUUUCCAUCCUAGAGUGAAUGCCCUUGACAUGAGCAUCUAAUUCCUGUUUGAG